AUUGAACGCUGGCGGCAGGCCUAACACAUGCAAGUCGAGCGGAUGAAGGGAGCUUGCUCCUGGAUUCAGCGGCGGACGGGUGAGUAAUGCCUAGGAAUCUGCCUGGUAGUGGGGGAUAACGUCCGGAAACGGGCGCUAAUACCGCAUACGUCCUGAUGGAGAAAGAGGGGGAUCUUCGGACCUCACGCUAUCAGAUGAGCCUAGGUCGGAUUAGCUAGUUGGUGGGGUAAAGGCCUACCAAGGCGACGAUCCGUAACUGGUCUGAGAGGAUGAUCAGUCACACUGGAACUGAGACACGGUCCAGACUCCUACGGGAGGCAGCAGUGGGGAAUAUUGGACAAUGGGCGAAAGCCUGAUCCAGCCAUGCCGCGUGUGUGAAGAAGGUCUUCGGAUUGUAAAGCACUUUAAGUUGGGAGGAAGGGCAGUAAGUUAAUACCUUGCUGUUUUGACGGUACCAACAGAAUAAGCACCGGCUAACUUCGUG
rnacentral:rRNA from 1 species